CUCUACAAUUCAACCUACAGAAGAUUCUCAUCCAGAUGAUGUCUUCUCAUCCAUGGCAACAAUAAUGAGUCUUAUAAUAGAAGAAAGCGAAGAUGUAUCUGUGGAGUUGCUUACCCAGCUAUUGGCUAGUGUGAAAAAGGACAGCAAGGAUAUUAUGCCAAUUGGUAAAAGGUUGGGGGAGAAAGUGUGUGCAGACGGUGCAUUGAAACUAAAGCCUUACUUGACACAAGCUGUAAAAUCUUUAGAUCUCUCUUUGCAUGAAUACAGUAAAGUUGUUACCUCAAUACUGGAAGGAACUACUAUAGUUGUUGAGCAUAGUAGUGAUCAUACUUUGAAAAACCAAUUGACUGUUGGGAGUAAAGCAGCUACUGCAUCUUCAGAUGAGGCAAGCCAGAGGGCUGAGGACACCCAAAAAGAUGUAUGUUAUGAGGACGUCAGUCAUGCUUUGAAUACAUCUCCCAAACAAUUACAAGCAAUGGUUCUCGUACCAGGAAUGGUGGGACUUCUGUGCGAAUAAAAUCUGUAGAAGAGACAGAGCAUCAUGGUCCCAGUAAUCAACCAGCUACUGCAAAGGACACAUCCAAGUCUGAGACUAAUGACCCACAUGCUUGGAAAUCAGUAAAAUCCUAACUCAUGAAAACUUCUUUAAACUCUGUUUCAGAUAGUUCCCUAUAUUUUGUCAAUAAGAUGCUGCCAUCUUUUACUCAAUUACUCAAAGCUUUAUCGUUGAAGAGUGAUUUGGGCAUAAAUGGUAGGAUUGACAUAUGCUUAGCUGCCGAUCCUGUGAGAACCGCCGUUGCACUGCCUGCCGUGUUCCAUGCUUUGGAUGAUGUGAUCUAUAAUGUUAGUCAAUGUAAUAAAGUUGAUAAAGAUUCACUUGCUUGGCCACUUUUGAAGCUGAACAGAUUAUGUUAUGGUCUUAGUGCAAGCUAGUGGGGAGGAGCUUCCUUUUGGAAUUUUGAGUAUUAUUGAUUUGUAUAAACAGUAUUAUCCUAUGGGAGCUGAGAAGCUCUUCUAUCCUUGUAUUGUUAUCUAAAGAUCUUGGAACA